rnacentral:rRNA from 1 species
GACGAACGCUGGCGGCGUGCCUAAUACAUGUAAGUAGAACGCACAGUUUAUACCGUAGCUUGCUACACCAUAGACUGUGAGUUGCGAACGGGUGAGUAACGCGUAGGUAACCUGCCUGGUAGCGGGGGAUAACUAUUGGAAACGAUAGCUAAUACCGCAUAAUAUUAAUUAUUGCAUGAUAAUUAAUUGAAAGGUGCAAUUGCACCACUACCAGAUGGACCUGCGUUGUAUUAGCUAGUAGGUGAGGUAACGGCUCACCUAGGCGACGAUACAUAGCCGACUUGGGAGGGGGACGGGCCAAACGGGAACUGAGAACCGGCCCGGACUCCUACGGGGGGAAGAGGUAGGGAAUCUUCGGCAUUGGCGGAAAGUUGGACCGACCAACGCGGCGGGAGUAAAGAAGUUUUUCGGUUCGUAAAGCUCGGUUUUAAGGGAGAAACGGGGGUGAGGGUGGAAGGUUCCCCCGUGAAGGUAUUUUUACCAGAAGGGGCCGGCUACUACGUG